rnacentral:rRNA from 1 species
GACGAACGCUGGCGGCGUGCCUAAUACAUGCAAGUCGAACGCAGUGGGGACGGGUGAGUAACACGUGGGUAACCUCCCAUCAGAGGGGAUAACACUUAGAUACAGGUGCUAAACCGAUAUUGACGGAUGGACCCGCGGUGCAUUAGCUAGCUGGUGAGGUAACGGCUUACCAAGGCCACGAUGCAUAGCCGACCUGAGAGGGUGAUCGGCCACACUGGGACUGAGACACGGCCCAGACUCCUACGGGAGGCAGCAGUAGGGAAUCUUCGGCAAUGGACGAAAGUCUGAUCGAGCAACGCCGCGUGAGUGAAGAAGGUUUUCGGAUCGUAAAGCUCUGUUGUUAGAGAAGCGGUAUCUAACCAGAAAGCCACGGCUAACUACGUGCCAGCAGCCGCGGUAAUUC